rnacentral:rRNA from 1 species
UGAGGAAUAUUGGUCAAUGGGCGAGAGCCUGAACCAGCCAAGUCGCGUGAGGGAGGAAGGUCCUACGGAUUGUAAACCUCUUUUGCCGGGGAGCAAAGGGGCCAUUGAUGGCAGGAUGAGCGUACCCGGAGAAUAAGCAUCGGCUAACUCCGUGCCAGCAGCCGCGGUAAUACGGAGGAUGCGAGCGUUAUCCGGAUUUAUUGGGUUUAAAGGGUGCGUAGGCGGUUUGUCAAGUCAGCGGUCAAACUGCGGGGCUUAACCUCGUAUUGCCGUUGAAACUGGCUGACUAGCGUGGCGUCGAGGUGUGCGGAAUGCGUUGUGUAGCGGUGAAAUGCAUAGAUAUGACGCAGAACUCCGAUUGCGAAGGCAGCACACCGGGCGCCUACGGACGCUGAGGCACGAAAGCGUGGGUAUCGAACAGGAUUAGAUACCCUGGUAGU